AUGUCGUCGGGGAAGCAGGAGACGGCGGCGGUGCGCGUGCUGGGCAGGUGGCCGAGCCCGUUCGUGAUCCGGGUGCUGAUAGCUCUUGGGCUCAAGGGCGUGGACCACGAGCUCGUGGAGGAGGCGGCGGGCAACAAGAGCGAGCUGCUGCUCGCCUCCAACCCCGUGCACAAGAAGAUCCCCGUGCUCCUGCACCACGGCAGGCCCGUCUCCGAGUCCCUCAUCAUCGUCCAGUACGUCGACGAGGCCUGGGCCUCCCAAGCCCCGGCGCUCAUCCCGUCCGACCCCUACGCCCGCGCGGCCGAGCGGUUCUGGGCCCAGUACGUCGACGACAAGUUUCCUACGGCGAUCCGGGUCCUGAGGGGAAGGCUGGACGGAGACAAGGAAGAAGCGGCGGCUCAGGUGUGCGCCGCUCUGCAGCACCUGGAGGUGGCCUUCGUCGAGUGCGGCCAAGGGAAGGAUUACUUCGGCGGCGACGGCGUCGGUUACCUGGACAUUGCUCUCGGGUCGCACCUCGGAUGGGUCAGGGCGGUAGAGAGGAUCGCUGAAAUCAGGCUGCUCGACGCGGCCAAGGUUCCUAAGCUGGCGGCGUGGGCGGAUCGGUUCUGCGCCCACCCGGCGGUGGCGAACGCCAUGCCUAACGUGGACAGGUUCGUGGAGUUCAGCGUCAAGAAUGACGGCGUUCUGAAGGCGGCUAGUGCUAAUUCCAAGUGA
rnacentral:rRNA from 1 species